AUUGAACGCUGGCGGCAGGCCUAACACAUGCAAGUCGAGCGGCAGCGGGAAAGUAGCUUGCUACUUUUGCCGGCGAGCGGCGGACGGGUGAGUAAUGCCUGGGGAUCUGCCCAGUCGAGGGGGAUAACUACUGGAAACGGUAGCUAAUACCGCAUACGCCCUGCGGGGGAAAGCAGGGGACCUUCGGGCCUUGCGCGAUUGGAUGAACCCAGGUGGGAUUAGCUAGUUGGUGAGGUAAUGGCUCACCAAGGCGACGAUCCCUAGCUGGUCUGAGAGGAUGAUCAGCCACACGGGAACUGAGACACGGUCCAGACUCCUACGGGAGGCAGCAGUGGGGAAUAUUGCACAAUGGGGGAAACCCUGAUGCAGCCAUGCCGCGUGUGUGAAGAAGGCCUUCGGGUUGUAAAGCACUUUCAGCGAGGAGGAAAGGUUGGUAGCUAAUAACUGCCAGCUGUGACGUUACUCGCAGAAGAAGCACCGGCUAACUCCGUGCCAGCCGCCGCCGUAAAAC
rnacentral:rRNA from 1 species